UACGAAGGGUGCAAGCGUUACUCGGAAUUACUGGGCGUAAAGCGUGCGUAGGUGGUUUGUUAAGUCUGUUGUGAAAGCCCUGGGCUCAACCUGGGAAUUGCAGUGGAUACUGGCGAGCUAGAGUGCGGUAGAGGAUGGUGGAAUUCCCGGUGUAGCGGUGAAAUGCGUAGAGAUCGGGAGGAACACCCGUGGCGAAGGCGGCCAUCUGGACCAGCACUGACGCUGAGGCACGAAAGCGUGGGGAGCAAACAGG
rnacentral:rRNA from 1 species